rnacentral:rRNA from 1 species
AGCAGCCGCGGUAAUUCCAGCUCCAAUAGCGUAUAUUAAAGUUGUUGCAGUUAAAAAGCUCGUAGUUGAAUUUCGGGACUAAUAUGUCGGUCGUACUUUGUACGUACUAGCAUUAUUGGUUUCUCCCUUCUGACGAACCACGAUGUCAUUAAUUUGGUGUCAUGGGAAAUCAGGACUGUUACUUUGAAAAAAUUAGAGUGUUUAAAGCAAGCUCGCGCUUGAAUACAUUAGCAUGGAAUAAUGAAAUAGGACGUUUGAUUCUAUUUUGUUGGUUUCUAGGAUCGACGUAAUGAUUAAUAGGGAUAGUUGGGGGCAUUAGUAUUUAAUUGUCAGAGGUGAAAUUCUUGGAUUUAUUGAAGACUAACUACUGCGAAAGCAUUUGCCAAGGAUGUUUUCAUUAAUCAAGAACGAAAGUUAGGGGAUCGAAGACGAUCAGAUACCGUCGUAGUCUUAACCAUAAACUAUGCCGACUAGGGAUCGGAUGAUGUUAAUUUUUAAUGACUCAUUCGGCGCCUUACGG